AUUUCAAAAGGUACACAUGUGACCUGUACUCCCAAAACUGAAAUAAUUUUCUGCCAUAUAUAGAGAUUUGCAUUCAUAGACAUUAACUGGCCACUCCAGCUACUAAAAUAGCAUAUUAUCUUUCUAAUCUACCAUUAAAUCUGUGAAGAUUCAGUUCUACCUGUGUUCCUGUGUGGUGAUUGGUGAUCUGACCCUGAUUACACACACCUGUCUAAUGAUCAGCUGCAGCUUUAUAAGCCUCAUCUACCAGUUGAUCCACGCUGAUGCAUCUAACCUUUAUGGUAGUAUCUAGCUCCUAGAUUCUUUGUUAAAGAAUAUUUUUGUACUUACCUCAUUCAUCCUUUGUCCAAGGUGGAUUACCAAGAUAACAGAAGCCACACCUCAUGCUAAGAAGUCUUCACUCCAAGUUGGGUCAGAAAACAAAGAACCUCACCACGGAGCACUCACAGCCACUCUGCCUGAAGAAUUGCCACCUGCCUUUGAAAACCUCCUCCUUUGCAACUCCUCGCCUCUGGAAAAUCUCUGAUGUCCAAAAACAAACUCCACCUGUAAAUAAAACUGCACUUACCUUUUUAA